GAGCAUUUUUACAUCCUACCCAUGUCUUCAGUAAUUUCAAAGAAUUGUACGGAACUAACUAUGAGACCAAGGCUGCCUAUCCUUCAUUAGAAGAUUCAAGCAGGAUUGCACUGGGAAAUAUUUUGAAGUUCCGAAAGAAGAACUGGCAAUUUGAUUUCAUUGGUGGCAUUAUAUACUUUGUGUUGAGCUUUUCUACGUUCCCACAGUGUAAGCUCGACCACAUUUUGCAACAUGAUACAUUUUCUGGCCACUUGUGGAGUUUCUUUGGCACAGUGUGGAAUGCUUUUAUGUAUGUGUUGGAGCACUCUUAUGUAUCAUUGGCCGGUCUUGUGGUAUUGCUAAUUGUGGCAAUUGCAUUUGUCCCACCCAAAGUGUCUCGGAAGAAACAGGCAAUUAUUGGGAUUCUUCAUGUUUCUUCACACCUUGCAGCAGCUCUAAUUCUUAUGUUGCUUUUGGAACUGGGUGUUGAGACGUGUAUCAGACAUAACCUACUAGCAACUUCAGGUUAUCACACUUUAUAUCAGUGGUACCGAUCAGUGGAAAGUGAGCACUUUCCAGACCCUACAGGUCUUCGAUCUCGUAUAGAACAAUGGACAUUUGGCCUUUAUCCAGCUUGCAUCAAAUAUCUCAUGUCUGCAUUUGAUGUUCCUGAGGUCAUGGCUGUCACAAGGAGUAAUAUUUGCAAGAAUGGGACUGAGUCACUGUCAAGAGGGGGUGCUGUCAUCUAUUAUGCGUCUGUCUUCCUCUACUUUUGGGUCUUUUCAACACCCGUUGUUUCUUUGGUUUUUGGAAGUUACUUGUACAUCUGCAUUAACUGGUUUCACAUACACUUUGAUGAAGCAUUCUCCUCACUCCGAAUUGCUAAUUACAAGGCCUUCACUCGAUUCCACAUCAAUAAGGAUGGCAAUCUUGAAGUUUUCACCCUUGCAGUUGAUAAGAUCCCAAAGGAAUGGAAACUGGAUUCUCAAUGGGAUGCGGAGCCAAAGCAGCCACAGCAGAUGAGUCACCAUCGACGGUUUCCUAGCAAAUGGCGUGCAGUUACAUCUCAGCAGGACCCACUAAAUACUGUUAAAAUAGUUGACCACUUUGUUAUUCAACAAACAGAAAACUCAGACAUUGGAGCAAGUAAGGGAUCAGUCAUUCGCUGAUCCGGUUUUGCUAAAAUUUGUAACAUAAUUGUAAUCUCAUCAUUUAGGAAGCAAUAGGGGGGAAAGAAAAUUAGUUCUGGAACUGAUUUCCAUUUUUCUAUCUCUAAUUCCUGAUCUAUUAGUAGGCUGUCAGAAUUAGUGCGUCAGAGUUCCUACUUGAUUGGGCUCCUUUCAAACCCAGUUUACGCAUUGUUGGGUGAUCUAAUAUUUAGGUCCAUUGCCCUUUAGAUUAUUUGAACGACAACAUGAGGUGUCUUGACUGAUGAUCAUAAUCAUUCUAUGUAGAGUGGCCAUUGCCCAAUAUACUUCUGUAAAGGUAAGCACAAUUAUGACUUGGAAAGGGCUGAAGAAACUUCUGACACCUCUUAUUGUAACUUUGUUUUGCGUUUGCUUAUCAUGUUUGUUGUACCAAAUCUGUUGUCUGUC
rnacentral:misc_RNA from 1 species